rnacentral:lncRNA from 1 species
AAAAGCUGGCCUUAUGUUUUGUGUACACAAUCCCUGUACGGGGUUCCUGACCUGUGGUCCCCGGGCGGUGCUGUGCAGGUGCAUGAUAAGGAGCGUGAUCUGAUGUCUGAUUCACACCAGGGUGUGGGAAUCUCAGAGGCAGAGAGCCCUGGAGAUGAAAGGGACAGAGACCUGGAUUCAGAUCUCAUUUUACAAUGAAGACCCCAAUGCAGAAAGUCAUGUCUGAAAUUCUGAGCUUACUCUUCUGCCUGCUGGGACCUGCUCUGGAUGAGAGAAGGGAGGAAAAGGACUAAUCAGAGGAGCCAAUGAAGUCACUCCAUGAGCUAGAGAUUAACGUCUGACCAUCAACAUAGGACACUGUGCAGAUGGCUACUUGCUGGCGCACAUGAAGACCAAAGCCAGGACACAAGCCCCAGCCCUGCUAAACACGGCAGAGACUCUGCCCCAGCCCACCUCCUGUGAGAAUCUGCUUCACUCCACAGCUGACCCCAGCAUCUUCAUGUGAGGACCAUGAAUGGACAUAGUUUCCAGGAUUUUUUGUGACCCAGGAAACCCGAACUCUCAUCAAAAAUGAAUAAAUAAAAGGAGGGAUGGGUAAGAAAAUGCUAAAAAUCUCCUUUUUGAAUCAUUAACAUUCACUUGAAAUUUGUCUCCACUAUUUCCUACUACCCUAGCAAACUCCAACCUGAAUAGCAUGGGUGAUGGCACUAAGCCCUAUAAUAGAAAAAGUGCCCUUAAGCUCUGUAUUAGUCCGUUCUCUCACUGCUAAUAAAGAUACACCUGAGGCUGGCUAAUUU